rnacentral:rRNA from 1 species
UACAGAGGUCCCAAGCGUUGUUCGGAUUCAUUGGGCGUAAAGGGUGUGUAGGCGGCGCCGUAAGUCAGGUGUGAAAUCUCGGGGCUUAACUCCGAAACUGCAUUUGAUACUACGGUGCUUGAGGACUGGAGAGGAGACUGGAAUUUACGGUGUAGCGGUGAAAUGCGUAGAUAUCGUAAGGAAGACCAGUGGCGAAGGCGGGUCUCUGGACAGUUCCUGACGCCGAGACACGAAGGCCAGGGGAGCAAACGGG